UACGGGGGGGGCAAGCGUUGUUCGGAAUUACUGGGCGUAAAGGGCGCGUAGGCGGCCUGCUAAGUCGGAUGUGAAGUCCCUCGGCUCAACCGAGGAACUGCAUCCGAUACUGGCGGGCUUGAAUCCGGGAGAGGGAUGUGGAAUUCCAGGUGUAGCGGUGAAAUGCGUAGAUAUCUGGAGGAACACCGGUGGCGAAGGCGGCAUCCUGGACCGGUAUUGACGCUGAGGCGCGAAAGCUAGGGGAGCAAACGGG
rnacentral:rRNA from 1 species